GAUGAACGCUGGCGGCGUGCUUAAUACAUGCAAGUCGAGCGAACGGACGCGACGCUUGCUUCUCUCAUGUUAGCGGCGCACGUGUGAGCCACACGUGUAUAACCUCCCUAUCAGACUGGUAUAUUUUCGGGAAUCCGGAUCUUACACCGGAUAAUCUUUUGCACCGCAUGGUUCAAUAGUAAAAUACGGUCUUUCUGGCUCUUAUAGCUGGUUCCGCGCUGCUUUAGCUAGUUGUUAAGUUCACGGCUUACCAAGGCUACGAUGCAUAGCCGACGUGAGAGGGUGGUAGGCGACACUGGAACGGAGACACGGACCAGAGUCCUACGGGAGGCAGCAGUAGCGAAUCGUCCGCAAUGGGCGAAAGCCUGACGGAGCGGCGCCGCGUCAGUUGUGAAGAUCUUCGGAGCGUGAAACUCUGUUAUUAGGGAAGAACAUAUGUGGAAGUAGCUGUGGACAUCUUGACGGUAACUAGUCAAAAAGCCACGGCUAACUACGUG
rnacentral:rRNA from 1 species